GGUUAAGCGACUAAGCGUACACGGUGGAUGCCCUGGCAGUCAGAGGCGAUGAAGGGCGUGCUAAUCUGCGAUAAGCGCCGGUAAGGUGAUAUGAACCGUUAUAACCGGCGAUACCCGAAUGGGGAAACCCAGUGUGAUUCGUCACACUAUCAUUAACUGAAUCCAUAGGUUAAUGAGGCGAACCGGGGGAACUGAAACAUCUAAGUACCCCGAGGAAAAGAAAUCAACCGAGAUUCCCCCAGUAGCGGCGAGCGAACGGGGAGGAGCCCAGAGCCUGAAUCAGCAUGUGUGUUAGUGGAAGCGUCUGGAAAGGCGCGCGAUACAGGGUGACAGCCCCGUACACAAAAGCGCAUGUGCUGUGAGCUCGAUGAGUAGGGCGGGACACGUGGUAUCCUGUCUGAAUAUGGGGGGACCAUCCUCCAAGGCUAAAUACUCCUGACUGACCGAUAGUGAACCAGUACCGUGAGGGAAAGGCGAAAAGAACCCCGGCGAGGGGAGUGAAAAAGAACCUGAAACCGUGUACGUACAAGCAGUGGGAGCCCCACCACCAAAGCAUUCUCUGGUGUUGAAGGCCCUGCAAAGCAGCAUCGCGGUGGCGGAGCGUCGUUUGCGACGCCCAACACACAAAACAAGCGGUGAGUGCUUUGGGGUGGGGUGACUGCGUACCUUUUGUAUAAUGGGUCAGCGACUUAUAUUCUGUAGCAAGGUUAACCGAAUAGGGGAGCCGGAGGGAAACCGAGUCUUAAUUGGGCGUUAAGUUGCAGGGUAUAGACCCGAAACCCGGUGAUCUAGCCAUGGGCAGGUUGAAGGUUGGGUAACACUAACUGGAGGACCGAACCGACUAAUGUUGAAAAAUUAGCGGAUGACCUGUGGCUGGGGGUGAAAGGCCAAUCAAACCGGGAGAUAGCUGGUUCUCCCCGAAAGCUAUUUAGGUAGCGCCUCGUGAAUUCAUCUCCGGGGGUAGAGCACUGUUUCGGCUAGGGGGCCAUCCCGGCUUACCAACCCGAUGCAAACUGCGAAUACCGGAGAAUGUUAUCACGGGAGACACACGGCGGGUGCUAACGUCCGUCGUGAAGAGGGAAACAACCCAGACCGCCAGCUAAGGUCCCAAAGUCAUGGUUAAGUGGGAAACGAUGUGGGAAGGCCCAGACAGCCAGGAUGUUGGCUUAGAAGCAGCCAUCAUUUAAAGAAAGCGUAAUAGCUCACUGGUCGAGUCGGCCUGCGCGGAAGAUGUAACGGGGCUAAACCAUGCACCGAAGCUGCGGCAGCGA
rnacentral:rRNA from 1 species